GUCUCGCUGUCGCCCAGGCUCAAGUGCAGUGGCGCAAUCUCAGCUCACUGCAACCUCCGCCUCCCAGGUUCAAGUGAUUCUUCUGCCUCAGCCUCCCGAGUAGCUGGGACUACAGGUUUUCAGCUGCUACUAAAGAUAAUGAGCAUAAGCGUUCACUGACCAAGACUCCAGCCAGAAAGUCUGCACAUGUGACCAUGUCUGGGGGCACCCCAAAAGGCGAGGCUGUGCUUGGGACACACAAAUUAAAGACCAUCACGGGGAAUUCUGCUGCUGUUAUUACCCCAUUCAAGUUGACAACUGAGGCAACGCCGACUCCAGUCUCCAAUAAGAAACCAGUGUUUGAUCUUAAAGCAAGUUUGUCUCGUCCCCUCACCUAUGAACCACACAAAGGAAAGCUAAAACCAUGGGGGCAAUCUAAAGAAAAUAAUUAUCUAAAUCAACAUGUCAACAGAAUUAACUUCUACAAGAAAACUUACAAACAAC
rnacentral:sRNA from 1 species